rnacentral:rRNA from 1 species
UACGGGGGGGGCAAGCGUUGUUCGGAAUUACUGGGCGUAAAGGGCUCGUAGGCGGCCAACUAAGUCAGACGUGAAAUCCCUCGGCUUAACCGGGGAACUGCGUCUGAUACUGGAUGGCUUGAAUCCGGGAGAGGGAGUGCGGAAUUCCAGGUGUAGCGGUGAAAUGCGUAGAUAUCUGGAGGAACACCGGUGGCGAAGGCGGCAUCCUGGACCGGCAUUGACGCUGAGGAGCGAAAGCCAGGGGAGCAAAGCGGG